rnacentral:rRNA from 1 species
AGAAUCAACGCUGGCGGCGUGCCUAACACAUGCAAGUCGAACGAGAAAGUGGAGCAAUCCAUGAGUAAAGUGGCGACCGGGUGAGUAACACGUGACUAACCUACCCUUGAGUGGGGGAUAACUGAGGGAAACCUUAGCUAAUACCGCAUAAUACCCACGGGUCAAAGGAGCAAUUCGCUCGAGGAGGGGUCGCGGCCGAUUAGUUAGUUGGCGGGGUAAUGGCCCACCAAGACGAUGAUCGGUA